GAUGAACGCUGGCGGCGUGCCUAAUACAUGCGAGUCGAGCGAACAGACGAGGAGCUUGCUCCUCUGACGUUAGCGGCGGACGGGUGAGUAACACGUGGAUAACCUACCUAUAAGACUGGGAUAACUUCGGGAAACCUGAGCUAAUACCGGAUAAUAUAUUGAACCGCAUGGUUCAAUAGUGAAAGACGGUUUUGCUGUCACUUAUAGAUGGAUCCGCGCCGGAUUAGCUAGUUGGUAAGGUAACGGCUUACCAAGGCGACGAUGCGUAGCCGACCUGAGAGGGUGAUCAGCCACACUGGAACUGAGACACGGUCCAGACUCCUACGGGAGGCAGCAGUAGGGAAUCUUCCGCAAUGGGCGAAAGCCUGACGGAGCAACGCCGCGUGAGUGAUGAAGGUCUUCGGAUCGUAAAACUCUGUUAUUAGGGAAGAACAAAUGUGUAAGUAACUAUGCACGUCUUGACGGUACCUAAUCAGAAAGCCACGGCUAACUACGUG
rnacentral:rRNA from 1 species